UACAUUAUAGUGUAUGAUGCACGAGAGUUUUUGAUACUCUAAGGAAUAGUUUAAUUCUAUUAAAUGUAA
rnacentral:tRNA from 1 species